rnacentral:lncRNA from 1 species
GCUGCACCCAACGGCCGCGUGGUGGGGAAGAUGGGAGGGGAUGGGGGUAGGCCGCCGAGCAUCUCCUGCCCCAGAAUCUGGCACGCUGACGGGGACCUAGGGACAGACGACCGCACAACACGCCACGUUGCAGGCGCUGCCAGGCCGGGUGCCUCACCUAGCUCCUUCAUGUAUUCAUCAAAGCCUUUGCUGUCCACCAGGCGCCAUCUUCCUUCCAGCUGCUGAACUGUGGCCAUGGGUACGCGACGGCCUCUCGGGCGCCUCCUGCAAGCAGGGACUCGCCCGGCGCGCCCCACGCCUCAUGGACGCCGGCGCCUGCACGUUUCGGCGCCUCUGCAGGCCCAGGAAGCCAGAGGGGUCACCUGGAGGCCUGGCCCCGCCUCUCCUGCACCCCUCCGUUUGACAACAUAUCCACCGCCGUUUUUCCUUUCAAAAUACCCGGACCAAUCGAUUAGCCCUCGCCGGACUCGGACUGCAGGAAGUGAUUGAUCGGCUGUUUGGUUUAUUGAUUCAUUAACUACGGUGCCUCCCUGACCUUCUGCUCCUCGCCAGCGCACAAGCUCACAAUCCACACCCUCCUAAGAGAACCUGCUCUCGCCAUCCGCAGGUCUCCCUGGCCCAAUAGUGGGGAUAUACCUGAGUUGAGCUAGAGGAUUUUAUCCCUGUUGGGAUGGGGGACGUCUCGGGAAGUGUGGUUUCUAAACUAAAAGACUGCAGGAAGUGUCAACUUUAGUGACUGUCAUUGCCAUUCAAGAAUGUUUGAUUAGUUUAUAUUCCCUUCGUAGUGCACCCUUCACCGUUUCUUCUCAGACACCAGCGGGUUUCUUCUCAGACACCAGCGGGUUCCCUCUUUCUCUUGAACUAUAAUAAUACCCUACACAUGUGCGUAGAACAUGAUACGUUUCAAAGUGUACUCUUCACAAUUUAUUACUUGGUGCUCCCGGGUGCCUGUUGGAAGUCAGAUGGACUGAGGUGAGGAAGUUGCCACACAGGCUGGCCGUUUCGAUAGCGGUAAUGUGCAUUUAUUGAGUAGCUACUAAGUGCUAGAUGUGCUUCCUGGGCACUUUAUAGACAUUGGUCUCCACUAUAUUUUUGCUAGGGGUGUUAUCCCAAUUUUUCAAAAGAGAAAAUAGGGCAAAGAUAGUUCUCACAGUGGUAGAACCAGAAUCCCCAUCCAGGUCCGUCUCACUGAAGACCUUAUGAAAUCAGACCACACCUGACUGCCUUGGGCUCAGGGUAGCUGUGAUGGAGCUCUGAGUAGACCACAGUCACCGAGACACUACUAGUUCUUGUAUCAUCCUUGACAAAAUUGAAAUCUGAGGUUGGUUUGCUAUCUCCCAACAUGCUGCAGGACAUGUACUCCCCUGAACUGCAUCCCUUUCAUUUCAAGUCCCUGCCCUCAGUUUAGGGUCACACCAGUCUUCCUUGUGGUACCAUUUAACACUCAAUUGUUUUCCCAAUAAGGGUCUGCAUGUCCCACACCCGAGGCCCUACUGCUCAGAAAAUAUUCGUGUUCUGAGGGAAGCUGAGUGCAUCAUUUACUCAGUGAUGAGAAGCCCUGGCUACCAGGCACUUCAGGCAGCUCCUUAGGGCUGCCUGUGUGUUUGAACUUGAGCUCUUCAUGUGCUAUUUCAACAUGUCUUAUCCAUUUCUGUAUAGACUAUAUGUAGUAAUAAUAGGACGCAGCACUCUGAUACUAAUUUUUAAAUGAUCAUAAUCUAACAUGUUACAGAAAUAUCAAAAAGAUAAUGGCACUGGAGUACUAGAUACUUAGGUACUUAAGAAAUAGCCUUUAAUCCCAAGGCCUUACUUAAAACUUAAGUUUAAACACAAUCUCUGAUGUGAUGAGUGGAAAUAAUUCUUUUGUGUUAAAACAUACAGACAAAACAAAGCUAUAUGGCCAGAAUAAUAACCGUUAUUGUAUCUUGUGGAACAAAAAAGGGCAUGGUGAUUGCUCUGUUCCUCAGGGAAACACAUUGAAUGUCUUGUUUUCAGACACCACAUCUGAUGCAUAUACAGAUGUAUGAUUGGAGUAGAUUAUUUCUAAUGCCCCUUAAGCUCUACUACUCAGAUUCUUUCCUUCUCCAGAGUAAUGGUAAUGGAUUUUAAGCUGUGAAAAAGCAGUUAAGUACUGCCUUCACCCGCUAAGUAAAGGCCUAUUCUAGGCUACUUACCUUGCACCCAUUAUGAGGUGUAAAACCAAAAAUGUUGUGAAAUCAAAUUUCACUGAAGUCUCAUAUAACUUUAUGGAGAUGGUUGAGUAUUUCUUCUUGGAAAGAAGGAGGAGAAUCAUCACUUGAUUGUGAUUAAUUACAACAUAGGAAACAAGAAACAAUAGUUUUAUCCUAACCUGUCCUUACGAACAUUAGUAACUGUGCUGUUCAUUAUUUUUAGUAACAGCACAUAGGUAAUACAGGUGUUAUAUCAUGUUUUCCUUCACACUGGAAGAUAAUAACACAUUAUUCUUAUGGAUGAAAAUGACUGAAGAAUCAAGAAUUACUAGCAACUCUUCUUCCAGUAGCUUAGAAAACUGCCUUUUUCAAGACAGAUGCAAUUUUACUUAAUAUCUCUGAAGCUUAGUUUUAUCAUCUAUGAAUUUAAGGAGAUGAGAAUUAAUACUAAAUGAUUUUUUAGGUCCCCUUCAGUUUAUGAAGUACUCCUGCAGUAGAAGUUCAUGGCCUUGAAAAAGCGUACUCAAAAUUACUCUAUUUCCACCUAGUGGUGAAACCGUAAUAUUUCUCUGAGGCUUUACUUGAUAAACGUGAGUAGUUUUUCAGCUUCUCAUUCUGUAAUCACACACAGCUUUGGAGCAUAUUGUGUCAUUUUUAUUUAAAGACAACUUCCCAGUUAAAGUUUAUGUACAUAGAUGUGCCUUCCACAAAGUUGAUUAUUGUAUAUUAGUUCUUCCUAAGGACAGUUAAGUGUUGGUGGCUUAGCAACAGGCAGUUGGUAGAGAAAUGGAGAGUACUACAUUAAAUUAUUGCAGAGAAUAUUCAAAGUAAUCCAUUUUCAGGGAACUGAGUCUUCUCUAAGUACAUGGCCAGAUGAUCAAAAAAGGAAAAAAAUUAAUCACUAAGGUUGGAGAAUAUGUUUAUUUAAACCUAGUGUCUCCCUUAAAUUUUAUAACUAGAUUUUUGACCCUCACUCAUCUGGCUUUCCUUGCUAUAGACAUGCUUUGCAUACCCAGCUUCUAGCCACAUCUUCCCUAAGAAAAUUUCACCUGGAAUCAGUUCCAAAAGAAAAUCUUAAGAGAUAGAGUAUGGAUCUGCAUGUUGUCAGCUACCUAAAGCAGCAAAAAUUCCUAGAUGAGAAUAAAAUCAGGGAACCUUGCAGUUUAAGGCACACCUUAAAUAUUAAAUUUUUAAUCCUUCAAUGCAUCCAGCCAAAACAAGAAAUUGCAAAUAGCUACCAUCCAUCAAUGCAAGGUUUUUUUGGUUUGUUUUUCAUAAUAAGAUUGGUUUUAAUUAAAGCACUUAUAAAGAUGGAGUUAUAUUUUGAACUUUGUCCUUUUACUUAAAGCAGUUAGAGUCUUACACAUCAUAACUGCCACGGCUAACCAUUAAAAUUUUCCAGCUCCUUAAAUGAUCCAUCAUAAACUUGUGCUUGCUGAGUUAACUGGACUAGAGGAUAGCUGGAGGGAAAAUGAGGCAUUGCAAAAGUUACAGUAAUAAAAAGUGAAUGGCUUCAAAAUAAGGCAGAGGACAUAAUGGCUCAUUUUAUAAUAAAAGCUUUCAGUAUAAAAUUCAUACAUUUCCCUUACUUAUAUAGAUCUUCCUACUUUCCAGACAUGUGUAUUAUUGUAUAUUACAUUUGUCAAUAGCUCAUGGCAACAGAUACACAUAGUUUGGGAUAACCCUUUUAUACCUCAUAUGAGCAGUGUUCAAAGGUUUAAAAGCACAACUCCAAAGGGCACAGCUUGAAAUGGAGCGGGAGGAUGCUAGCAAAGCCACCCCAAUAAACACAAAAUCUUAGUAAAAGCACUAUGUUUACCAGGCAAUGCAACUUCAAAACAAAUUCCUUAGCAACCCCAACCUCUUCAAGCCCGCUUCUAAUCACAUUAUUACUCCUAAGCCUCCUUAUAUACAAAAUCUUAGGCUGGCCAAGCCCAAACACACAGACACAUUAAUAAUGAGCAUCUCUGUCCUUAAAAAAUUUCAAACAUAAAAAACCUCCAAAUGAUAUGUUCCCACUGGAAGAGGCCAAAUUCUUUUCUUGUAGAUUACCCUUUUCUAUUUUUCAUUCCUACCUCCCAUGCAGUAUUCCUAGAUUCUCACACCAUUUGAUCAUUUCUCUAUUUUGAUAUUUAUCUAUAAGAAUUAAUGAUUUUUUUCAAGUCAAAUCUACAAAACCGUGGAUUUGCUUGCCUCUAAGCUAUUUAUCUCAGUGAGUCAGGCCCACUGCUUCCAUUUUUCUGGAUUAGCUUUGAAGAAGAAUCAUCAGCACUUAAUAACCUACCUAAAUCCGACUGAAGAUGCUUUCUUGAUCCUAUCUCUGGUCCUCCUACUUUGGCAGUGGGAAGAGCUACCCUAUAACUCCUCAGAGUCAUGCACAGAGCUGUAAAACCAGCAUGCAGCUGAUUUUGUGCACUUCUCUGAAGGACCCAAGCAGCAGGAUGGGUACCUUUUGUUCACCCACCCAUAGACACCACAGGACACUUUUUGUUCACCUGCUCACUUCUGCAUUGACCAAACUUAAAGAUACAGAUUCAACAGUAUGUAGGGGAAGUUUCCAGUAAAGUAUAUUCUGUUUUCUACAUUGGUUAAAUAUUGUAAUUUCAUGCGGGAACUGGGAGGCUAAGUAGUUGUUACCAUUAAGAAGAGCAACUGUGAUCUUACUUCCAGCCUAUUUUGGAAGGUGGGAUAAAAAAUAUUUGUGCCACAAAUCUCAAAUCUUGUCUCCUAUCUUACAACCUUGAAAUACAUAGUUAAUUCUGCAGGGUCUCAGACAUCCUACUGAGUUGCCAAAUAUUGAACACCAAGCUGGGCUUGUCAACACUCAGGGCUACAAAGAGGAGAUCUCAAAACUACCAUGGCCUCAGGAUUCUGAAUGUGGGUCUGAAAUCCCUACUUCUUACUUUGGAUUAAAAGCUCACCUGAGCUACACACAUCUGUUGUCCUAGAAUGGAUAUUUUUAUUUAGAUAUCAACCAAUUCAACUUCACUCCUUUAUUGAGUCAGUCAAGAAAUCAAUAAAAUUGACUUCAAAAAUUGAAAUCACUUCUUAAUUCUCCUCUGGUUUUCUUCCUACCCUGCCCUUUCUUCUUCACACUCAAUAUAGUUUUACCCAUCUGAAUGAGGAAUAAGUCUGACUUGUCUUUGAAACAUUUGCUUUAUUUCAUAACUGCCACACGCUGGGCCUAAAGUGUAUGUACCUGGAUCUGAAGACAACAAAAUACCUAGAGGAUCUGCUCUGUGGGUGGGACACGGCAGCUAGAGCUGUGGAGGUCAGGCUUGAAUUCCAG